rnacentral:lncRNA from 1 species
GCUUAUUUUAUCCAGGAGUUCUAGGUAAGACCACUUUUUCAAAUAUCCUCUGAACGUUGACUUAGGUGCACACACCUGUGCUUCCAUUGGCAACAAAAGCUUUGAAUGCACAGGACUUCCACGGCAUGAAAUGCAUUUACAUACAUUACAUAAGAGAGAAGCAAUGAGCAAGUCUGUUGCUGGGAGAGGCUCACAUCCUUCUCACCAAAUCAAUCUGUAACUUUCAAAUAGCUCUGCUGUAUUUCCUAGCAACAGGAGUAAACACUGUACUACAUCCAGUGCCCAAGAUUUGUAACCACGUUAAUCUGUUAGAAGCCUAGAUGUGUGACUGGAGAUGCCUCCUGUCCAUUCAAUCUGACUCCAAUGUGGUUCUGCAGCACUGGACAAAGAUGGGAGAUUGAAACAGGAGCCCCUGCGAUGGGGGAACAGAGCCAGGGAGCAGGGGUUGGACAGAACCCAGGUUUGAGAAAACAACCUUGUGAACCUUCUAUUGGAGCAGCAAUAAAGAUCUGAGCUAAGUGUCGAGGGAGGCUGAGGAGGUGGUCACUAAGUCUGUCUUAGGCAUCCCAGGGUCUCCUCAGAGUCCAAGCCUGAAGUCCACUGCAGGGGUCACCAGCCACCUGUGGCCACAUUGGAAUGUGGCCAUUCUGAAUUGAGAAAGAGCAAGCAGGCAGCGGUGAGGAGGAUGGAUUGAAAGCUGAGAGACUGAAGGCAGCAUUUGUAGAGGAGUUAAGCCUAAAGCUGCAGAUGAAAAUUUUGCCACCAUGAAGAAAAGAAGAAAUCAGAAUUGGAUUCUUUCUGAACUUUUCCUUUACAGUAGCCAGUAUAUGCCCUUUCCUACUUGAGCAAGUAUAAACUGGGUUUCUGUGAUUUGCAACCAAGUGUCCUGACAAACACAAGGAUGAAAGACAACUGUGUCUCAAUAAAGGAAAAAUAGUUUAUUUUUAUGAGUGGUGGAUUUAAAAAACCUACAUUACUGUGACAAGAGUACCUUAAAACAUUUAAGUCUACAAAAGGCACUUAGGGACUUUAUAGCAAACUCUACACUUAUAAUGAAAAGCCAGACCAGAUCAUUUUAAAAAAACGUUACUGCACGAGAUAAUGGCACAUCCACUCGUUCAAUUAACAUUUAUUGAGUGUCUUCAGGGGUUUUAGACUUGUGCAAUAAAAAUGAUAAAAACGUAUUCUUUGGUUUGAGCUGGUCCAUCCAAGGUCGUUCCAUAAAGAGCAGCUGUGUAUGCUGUUCAGACUAAUUGUGUGAAGCUGGAGAGGCCAGGUGUUUCUGUCUGGCCCAGCAGCUGCACUUUGCGGUAAGGGCACCACCUGAAUUUCAGUCUGGCCAUAAAAUGAGGCUGAAGAAACAGCACCUUGCAUGAGCUUUUAGGUGAAAGGCAGAACAG